rnacentral:lncRNA from 1 species
AGCCAACCCAGACAGUGAGCCCCUGACUCAAUGUUAUCACACUGGGGUGGAUUGUCAUAUGAGGCAUGGCUCUCCGUCUUCACAUCUCGCCACCACCCUCUUCCUUCCUCCCGUGCCCUUGACUUAUUUUUCCUAUGCUUCAGACUCGCCAGGUGAUCCCAGCCCUAGAGCUCUGUAUACGGAUUGUUUUCUCUCUCCAUGGUAACCCCAAGGGAGAACGCCAGCCCUCCCUCAGCUGCCUCUUUGUGACACAUGAACACUGGUGUCAGCGCAAAGGAAUAGGCUCAGCAAAUUCUUCACCAUCUCCUGGAUCAAGAUUAGAUCACAGGAACCUCAUAUAAGCAAGUUCUCACAGGAUAUGUCUGGUCUUGCCAUCCUGCCUCAGCAUCCCGAGCUACUAGAUUACAGGUGUGUGCCUCCUUUUUUGCACAACGUCCUCAAGGCUCAUCGCAUAAUGUUAAUUCCCUCCCACUUUUGAAAUAAAACACAUGUAACAUGAGCGUCGUUCCUUGUGCUGCACUCAUCGGAUUCUUCACCGUCCUCAGCUGCCAGUUCACAGUGUCCACUGGAGACACUAUGGUCAAAAAAGGUAGGCAGGAUCCUGACUAGUGCCCCUUCCGGGCCGCACUUCCCAGAAGAGUCGCCG